rnacentral:rRNA from 1 species
CUGGCUCAGAACGAACGCUGGCGGCAUGGAUUAGGCAUGCAAGUCGAACGCAAACAGCAAUGUUUGAGUGGCGCAAGGGUGAGGAACACGUGAGUAAUCUGCCUUCGAGUCGGGAAUAGCUCCGGGAAACUGGAAUUAAUACCGGAUGAAACUGCGAUACCGCAUGGUGUUGCAUUGAAAGCAGCAAUGCGCUUGAAGAGGAGCUCGCGUCCCAUUAGCUAGUUGGUGAGGUAACGGCCCACCAAGGCGAUGAUGGGUAGCUGGUCUGAGAGGACGAUCAGCCACAGUGGGACUGAGAACUGCCCACACUCCUACGGGAGGCUGCAGUCGAGAAUUUUGGGCAAUGGGCGAAAGCCUGACCCAGCCAAUGCCGCGUGCGGGAUGAAGGUCUUCGGAUUGUAAACCGCUGUCAAGAGGGACGAAAAAUGACGGUACCUCUGAAGGAAGUCACGGCUAACUACGUGCCAGCAGCAGC